UCUAUGGAAAUAGCGCUGGUGAUUCUCCACUUGCCCCCCAGGGUCACUCUCAGCCUUUCCUCCUGCUCUGGAUCCUGAGAGAGUGCCCUGUGUGGGCUCCAUCCACGAGGGUCCCUUGCCUCCGCCUUCUGGUUGGGUUCUGCCAGUCAGAGAGACUGACGUGAAAUCCAAGGGUAGGACAGACAUGAGAGUAUUUAUUUUGCAGCUCCUCCCUGCAGCCCCGCUGUCCGGACCGGAGCUGUGUUCGUCUACCUAGAGUUACAGCACUACAGGCUCCUCCCCAAAUUCUAACUUUCUGCUUUGAGGGUGGUGACGGCUUGGCUUUCUCACUGAGGUUGGUUCCCCGAUGCCGCCCCAUACUUUGUGGGUUCCUUCCCCCUGCCCACCCCUCUAAAAUGUCCCUGGAUAAAUGCUCACACUUAAACUCUGAAUGGCUACCUGUUUCCUGCCAGGACCCUGACUGAAUCACAGCAAAAACUUAAGGAGCCCUGAGCCAGCAGAGGGAAGAGCAAGAGGGACUCCAUUUUAAGUUAACUUCCAUCUUGGGGCUUAAAGGUUAAAAGCGACAUCAAAGAAGGAAGCUUUGACCUUAUGGUGGGAAAGCCAGUGAGUCCAUGUCUCCUGACCACGAAGUGGCGCCACGAGAAGCUGAAUAAUGGAGAUACCAUUAUAAAAUAAUUCAUCAAUCUCCCUCCUCCCAAACCCCUCACCCUCUGAACCUGCCUUUAUAAACCCCACGCUCAACCUCUUAAAGAGCAACAUUCCGCUUUUCUGUCGGUAUGUUGCUAUCUCUAAUAAACUCCACCUGCUUUCUUUCUCUCGCGUUCAGUGUUUAGUUCUCUAACGUUGAAAUUAAAGAACCUGGUCUUUGGGGGUCCGGUAACAAGAG